AAGCAAGAAGUAUACAGAAUCAAAGCACCCUGAAAAGUUUAUGAAAUAGAGAUGACAUUGGAAGUACAGAUUGAAGGAUGGGCUAGGAGGAAGCAGACAAUCCAAAUGUGCAAAGAGAAAAAGAAAGGAUAAACUGAACGCUGAAGGUUAUUGCAGGGAUGACUGGUGAUGGUGUAGAGUGAUCAGAUUUUUUUCUCUUUUCCAGCCAGAAGUCAUUGUACUCGUUUUGGAAAAGGUAUUUAAAAGAUUGAGACUGAUCAUCAGUAAUUAAUGCUGCUGAAGGUAGACAUGUACAGCUUUGAACUCACCUUGAUUUUUUUACACUGGGACAUAUAUACUACAGGAAAGAUUAAAUAAAUCCUUUGUGUUGGACUGAGAUGUAACCAUCAAGAACAAAACAAAUGAUGAACUAAUCCCCCCAGUACAUUUGUUUAUUUUUCCUUCCUGUUGGCUACAUGCAGUUUGAACUGCAUACAUACACUUCUUAAUGAGAGUAAUAAAGAGAUAAUAUGGACAAUAUGUAUACUAUAUAAAAAGACUCACAGUAUUCCUGUGUCUGGCUUAAAUUAGUGAGUGGUUUAAGAAUAUAAAAUAAUUCAUUGUGUAUAACUUCAACUCCUCCCAAACACUGUUAUUUAAAAUGUAGUAGCAUAAUGAACCCUUUUAAACUUAGAACUCCCUUUGUGGUCCCUUAAGGCUGUGCUUUCUACCUGUCA